UUUAUCGGAGAGUUUGAUCCUGGCUCAGGACGAACGCUGGCGGCGUGCUUAACACAUGCAAGUCGAACGAUGAAGCGGUGCUUGCACCGUGGAUUAGUGGCGAACGGGUGAGUAACACGUGAGUAACCUGCCCUUCACUCUGGGAUAACUCCGGGAAACCGGUGCUAAUACUGGAUAUGACCUCAACCUGCAUGGGUAUGGGGUGGAAAGAUUUAUCGGUGGUGGAUGGACUCGCGGCCUAUCAGCUUGUUGGUGGGGUAAUGGCCUACCAAGGCGACGACGGGUAGCCGGCCUGAGAGGGUGACCGGCCACACUGGGACUGAGACACGGCCCAGACUCCUACGGGAGGCAGCAGUGGGGAAUAUUGCACAAUGGGCGAAAGCCUGAUGCAGCGACGCCGCGUGCGGGAUGACGGCCUUCGGGUUGUAAACCGCUUUCAGCUCUGACGAAGCUUUUGUGACGGUAGGAGCAGAAGAAGCACCGGCUAACUACGUGCCAGCAGCCGCGGUAAUACGUAGGGUGCGAGCGUUGUCCGGAAUUAUUGGGCGUAAAGAGCUUGUAGGCGGCUUGUCGCGUCUGCUGUGAAAACCCGGGGCUUAACCCCGGGCUUGCAGUGGGUACGGGCAGGCUAGAGUGUGGUAGGGGAGACUGGAAUUCCUGGUGUAGCGGUGGAAUGCGCAGAUAUCAGGAGGAACACCGAUGGCGAAGGCAGGUCUCUGGGCCAUUACUGACGCUGAGAAGCGAAAGCGUGGGGAGCGAACAGGAUUAGAUACCCUGGUAGUCCACGCCGUAAACGUUGGGCGCUAGGUGUGGGUCCCAUUCCACGGGGUCCGUGCCGCAGCUAACGCAUUAAGCGCCCCGCCUGGGGAGUACGGCCGCAAGGCUAAAACUCAAAGGAAUUGACGGGGGCCCGCACAAGCGGCGGAGCAUGCGGAUUAAUUCGAUGCAACGCGAAGAACCUUACCAAGGCUUGACAUGUACCGGAAACCCUCGGAGACGGGGGCCCCGCAAGGCUGGUACACAGGUGGUGCAUGGUUGUCGUCAGCUCGUGUCGUGAGAUGUUGGGUUAAGUCCCGCAACGAGCGCAACCCUCGUUCUAUGUUGCCAGCACGUGAUGGUGGGGACUCAUAGGAGACUGCCGGGGUCAACUCGGAGGAAGGUGGGGAUGACGUCAAAUCAUCAUGCCCCUUACGUCUUGGGCUUCACGCAUGCUACAAUGGCCGGUACAGAGGGCUGCUAAGCCGCGAGGUGGAGCGAAUCCCUUAAAGCCGGUCUCAGUUCGGAUUGGGGUCUGCAACUCGACCCCAUGAAGUCGGAGUCGCUAGUAAUCGCAGAUCAGCAACGCUGCGGUGAAUACGUUCCCGGGCCUUGUACACACCGCCCGUCAAGUCACGAAAGUCGGUAACACCCGAAGCCGGUGGCCCAACCUCUUGUAGGGGGGAGCCGUCGAAGGUGGGACUGGUGAUUGGGACUAAGUCGUAACAAGGUAGCCGUACCGGAAGGUGCGGCUGGAUCACCUCCUUUCUAAGGA
rnacentral:rRNA from 2 species